GUUUUCCUGAUAAUCUAAUUUUUUUGUUUUGUUUUGUUUUGUUUUGAGGCGGAGUCUUGCUCUGUCACCAGGCUGGAGUACAGUGGCACAAUCUUGGCUCACUGCAACCUCCGCCUCCCAGGUUCAAGCAAUUCUCCUUUAACAACUGUAAUACUAUUGUUAACUGUGGGCAUUUGAAAUUGGAUUAUUGUGGAGUUUUGUGAAAAUGUGGUUGGCUGCAGAUGAGGAUAUAGUAGGUUUGCUGGUGAGGCCCAUGACCCGCUAGUUGAAGCACUAGUUACAGAAGCAUGGAGAAGGCUAGAAAGGUUUGAUAUUAAACUGCUCUCAGAAUUUUCCUCUUGCCUAGCAGAUCAGCAUUUGUAUUUUAGUCCAUUAAUGGGAAAAAUAGCUGAUAUUGUUCAUAGGAACUUGGAAACCACACAGGACUUAAGUUCCUUGUCUGUCUUGAUGGUCAACAUAUCUUCUUUAAUAUCACGACAUUUUCAACAACAACUGGUGAACAAAACAGAACUUCUUUUUGACACCAUAGAUUCUUCUGAGGUCAACGUUGCAAAAAGCAUAGCAAAGUUUCUUCGAAAUGUUAGAUAUCGUUAUCAACCACUAUUAGAAAGAUGUAAUAACGUAUUUUUAAGUAAUGUGGACCACCUUGAUUUGGAUUCCAUCAGUAAAAUACUUAGUGUAUACAAA
rnacentral:lncRNA from 10 species